GAUGAACGCUGGCGGCGUGCCUAAUACAUGCAAGUCGAGCGAACAGACGAGGAGCUUGCUCCUCUGACGUUAGCGGCGGACGGGUUAGUAACACGUGGAUAACCUACCUAUAAGACUGGGAUAACUUCGGGAAACCGGAGCUAAUACCGGAUAACAUGUUGAACCGCAUGGUUCAACAGUGAAAGACGGUCUUGCUGUCACUUAUAGAUGGAUCCGCGCCGCAUUAGCUAGUUGGUAAGGUAACGGCUUACCAAGGCAACGAUGCGUAGCCGACCUGAGAGGGUGAUAGGCCACACUGGAACUGAGACACGGUACAGACGCCUACGGGAGGCAGCAGUAGGGAAUCUUCCGCAAUGGGCGAAAGCCUGACGGAGCAACGCCGCGUGAGUGAAGAAGGUCUUCGGAUCGUAAAACUCUGUUAUUAGGGAAGAACAAAUGUGUAAGUAACUAUGCACGUCUUGACGGUACCUAAUCAGAAAGCCACGGCUAACUACGUG
rnacentral:rRNA from 1 species